GACGAACGCUGGCGGCGUGCUUAACACAUGCAAGUCGAACGGAAAGGCCUCAGCUUGCUGGGGUACUCGAGUGGCGAACGGGUGAGUAACACGUGGGUGAUCUGCCUUGCACUCUGGGAUAAGCUUGGGAAACUGGGUCUAAUACCGGAUAUGAACUGCCUUUAGUGUGGUGGUUGGAAAGUUUUUUCGGUGCAAGGUGAGCUCGCGGCCUAUCAGCUUGUUGGUGGGGUAAUGGCCUACCAAGGCGUCGACGGGUAGCCGGCCUGGGAGGGUGUACGGCCACAUUGGGACUGAGAUACGGCCCAGACUCCUACGGGAGGCAGGAGUGGGGAAUAUUGCACAAUGGGCGGAAGCCUGAUGCAGCGACGCCGCGUGGGGGAUGACGGCCUUCGGGUUGUAAACUCCUUUCGACAGGGACGAAGCUUUUUGUGACGGUACCUGUAUAAGAAGCACCGGCUAACUACGUG
rnacentral:rRNA from 1 species